rnacentral:rRNA from 1 species
GACGAACGCUGGGGGCGUGCUUAACACAUGCAAGUCGAACGGAAAGGCCCUGCUUUUGUGGGGUGCUCGAGUGGCGAACGGGGGAGAAACAGGUGAGUAACCUGCCCUUGACUUUGGGAUAACUUCAGGAAACUGGGGCUAAUACCGGAUAGGAGCUCCUGCGGCAUGGUGGGGGUGGGAAAGUUUCGGCGGUUGGGGAUGGACUCGCGGCUUAUCGGCUUGUUGGUGGGGUAGUGGCUUACCAAGGCUUUGACGGGUAGCCGGCCUGAGAGGGUGACCGGCCACAUUGGGACUGAGAUACGGCCCAGACUCCUACGGGAGGCAGCAGUGGGGAAUAUUGCACAAUGGGCGGAAGCCUGAUGCAGCAACGCCGCGUGCGGGAUGACGGCCUUCGGGUUGUAAACCGCUUUCGCCUGUGACGAAGCGUGAGUGACGGUAAUGGGUAAAGAAGCACCGGCUAACUACGUG